rnacentral:rRNA from 1 species
AUGCAGCUCCUCCCCAUGCCAGCGCGACCCCAUGCGCCGUCGUCGAACUUCGUCGUCCUUCUGCACAUCGCCGACCCCGCUUCACCUCGCUGCGGCUACUGCCCCGCCGGUGAGCAUCUGCUCUGCCGCCCCUGCCUCGACCUCCUCUGCAAGGGCAAGCCGCGCCGCCCCGUCGACCCGCCUCAUCCUUGCAUCUCCGGCCUCGUCCCCGACCCCAUCCGCCGGAUCUGGCCGGAUCGAGCCGGCCCACGGCCGCCAUCACCACCAGCUUGCUCCUUCGCUCGCCGGACCUGCUUUGUUGCCGUCGCCUUGCUGCCCGCGCCCUUCCUCUGCUGCACUUCCAACGAUGGGCCUUGGGAUCCUUCUCUCGUGCCGGCCUUCUUGCAUCUCCGACCGGAUACGCCCCUUGCACCACCUUGGCUGUGGGUUUGCCGCUUCUCUACUUCUCGAGCUGCCGCUCGAGGCUGUAACCCUGUGGGCGCGACCACCACCUUCUGUUGCAUCCCGUGCACACCCUUUUUUUCUUAUAGUCAUGGAGGCCAAAAUCACCAACUAAUUGUUGGACUCAAGGACCAUCAGGACCAAGACCGCCCCGAACCACGACAUCUCGCCGGAUCGUCAAGACCAUCUCGGUUUUCGCAAGUACCACUACGCCCGAAGGAAUUGGAUGCACCAAGUUCCACGACCGCCGCCAAAAACCCGAGACGAAGUACCCCCUAUAGUUCGUCGAGACUGGCAAAUCACAAAACCGUCCUGGAUAUCGUCAAGUACCACGAUGACCCUCGAAGAGUUCGGAUUCGUCAAGUUCGACUACCGUGGCGUGAACCACUACUCCCACGACGACGUGUGUAUCACUACCGUCGACCCUCCAAGACCCCGUGGGUGUCAAGUUCCUCGCCGUGA